UCAAGCGAACAAGGGCGCAGGGCGAAUGCCUUGGCACUGGGAGCCGAUGAAAGACGUGAUAAGCUGCGAUAAGCUUCGGGGAGCUGCAAAUAAGCAUUGAUCCGGAGAUUUCUGAAUGAGGAAACUCACCUGGGUUCAUACUCAGGUACAAUACACUGAAAUUCAAAAUAGGUGUAUUGAGGGAACCGCCUGAACUGAAACAUCUAAGUAGGGCGAGGAAGAGACAUCAAACGAGAUUCCGUAAGUAGUGGCGAGCGAACGCGGAAGAGGGCAAACCGAGAGUAGAAAUACUUUCGGGGUACGGACUGCUUUUAAGACUCAAUCUGUUAACCGAACGGCAUGGGAAGGCCGGUCAGAGAGUGUGAGAACCACGUAGGUGAAAACGGAGAGAGCUGCGCAGGAUCCAGAGUACGGCCAGACACGUGAAACCUGGUCGGAAUACGGGGGGACCACCCUCCAACCCUAAAUACUACCCAGUGACCGAUAGCGUAUAGUACUGUGAAGGAAAGGUGAAAAGCACCCCGGGAGGGGAGUGAAAUAGAACCUGAAACCCUGUGCCUACAAGCACCUAGAGCACGUCAAUGUGUGAUAGGGUACUUUUUGUAGAACGGUCCGGCGAGCGAUUGUAUGCAGCAAGGUUAAGGACUUAAGGUCUGGAGCCGAAGCGAAAGCGAGUUUGAAAAGGGCGUUAAGUUGCAUAUAAUGGGCCCGAAACCGGGUGACCUACCCAUGGUCAGGUUGAAGUGGAAGUAAAAUUCCAUGGAGGACCGAACCGACCUCCGUUGAAAAGGCGGCGGAUGAACUGUGGGUAGCGGAGAAAUUCCAAUCGAACCCGGAGAUAGCUGGUUCUCCCCGAAAUAGUUUUAGGACUAGCCUCAAGUUAGAUACCUGGAGGUAAAGCACUGAAUAGCCUAGCGGCCGAGAGGUUAGCGAAGCUUAUCAAACUCAGAAUGCCAGAGUAUUGAUGCUUGGGAGUCAGACAGUGUCAGAUAAAUGUCAUUGUCAAAAGGGAAACAGCCCAGAUCUACAGCUAAGGUCCCAAAGUCAGGUUAAGUGGAAAACGAUGUGAAGAUACGCAGACAACCAGGAUGUUGGCUCAGAAGCAGCCACUCAUUCAAAGAGUGCGUAAUAGCUCACUGGUCGAGCGUCUUUGCGCGGAGAAUUUAACGGGGCUAAACCUGACACCGAAGCUUAGGCAAUACAGCAAUGUAUUGGGUAGGGGAGCGUUGUAUACGCGGUGAAACAGUAGCGCAAGCGGCUGUGGAGUGUAUAGAAGUGAGAAUGCCGGAAUGAGUAGCGCGAAUGCAGUGAGAAUCUGCAUGGCCGAAAGCCUCAGGUUUCUGGAGGAAGGUUCGUCCGCUCCAGGUUAGUCGGGAGCUAAGGUGAGGCCGGAAGGCGUAGCCGAUGCACAGACGGUAGAGAUUCCGUCACCACCAAAAGAGUUAAGCACAGGGACACAUUUGAAGUCUCGGAGCCGGGUGUUGGUUCCGGUAGCGAUCGAGGGAAGUUAGUACCGAAGUCCGGGAUGGAAGAUGGCGAGAAAAGCUGUGUGUAUUUCUGAGGUGCCCGUACCGCAAACCGACACAGGUAGGUAGGAAGAAGAUUCUAAGGCCAACGGGAGAAGGGUUGUUAAGGAACUCGGCAAAUUGACCCCGUAACUUCGGGAGAAGGGGUGCUCCAGAGAUGGAGCCGCAGAGAAUCGGCCCAAGCAACUGUUUACCAAAAACACAGGUUUGUGCUAAAUCGAAAGAUGACGUAUACGAGCUGACGCCUGCCCGGUGCUGGAAGGUUAAGAGGAGAUGUGCAAGCAUUGAAUCGAAGCCCCAGUGAACGGCGGCCGUAACUAUAACGGUCCUAAGGUAGCGAAAUUCCUUGUCAGGUAAGUUCUGACCCGCAUGAAAGGCGUAAUGAUUUGGGCACUGUCUCAACAGCCCGCCCGGCGAAAUUGUAGUACCGGUGAAGAUGCCGGUUACCCGCGACAAGACGGAAAGACCCCAUGGAGCUUUACUGUAGCCUAAUAUUGGGUUUCGAUGUUGCAUGCACAGGAUAGAUGGGACUCUUGGAAACCAAGGCUUUGGCUUUGGCGGAGAGGCCGUUGGGAUACCAUCCUUGCGAUAUUGGAAUUCUAACCUGCGGCUCUGAAUCGAGUCGGGGGACAUUGUUAGGUGGGCAGUUUGACUGGGGCGGUCGCCUCCUAAAGAGUAACGGAGGCGUUCAAAGGUUCGCUCAGCUUGAACGGAAAUCAAGCAAAAGAGUGCAAACGCAGAAGCGAGCCUAACUGCGAGACUGACGGGUCGAGCAGUAACGAAAGUUGGAGUUAGUGAUCCGGUGGUAUGUGAGUGGAAAUGCCAUCGCUCAACGGAUAAAAGUUACCCUGGGGAUAACAGGCUGAUCUCCCCCAAGAGUCCACAUCGACGGGGAGGUUUGGCACCUCGAUGUCGGCUCAUCGCAUCCUGGGGCUGUAUUCGGUCCCAAGGGUUUGGCUGUUCGCCAAUUAAAGCGGUACGCGAGCUGGGUUCAGAACGUCGUGAGACAGUUCGGUCCCUAUCUGUCGUGGGCGCAGGAUAUUUGAUGGGAGCUGUUCCUAGUACGAGAGGACCGGAGCGGACGUACCUCUGGCGCACCAGUUGUUCUGCCAAGAGCAUAGCUGGGCAACUAUGUACGGAUCGGAUAAACGCUGAAAGCAUCUAAGCGUGAAGCCGACCCAAAGAUAAGAUAUCCCAUUGUUUCAAACAAGUAAGACCCCUUGAAGACUACAAGGUUGAUAGGCACGAUGUGUAAGUGGAGCGAUCCAUUCAGCAAGCGUGUACUAAUAGGUCGAGGGCUUGACCAC
rnacentral:rRNA from 1 species